AUUUCACACCUGGAUGUGCUCACUCAACCAAGAAUAUAGAGAAAGAGCUUCUGCCCUGAGACUCAGAAAAAUAUUCUCCUGUGCUUCGGUUCAGUAUAGAUUUCUAGACCCUGAUCAUUGCUUAAGAGAUACUCACUAAGGACGGUCUUGCUCUUUUGCUGAGGCUGCAGUGCAGUGGUGUGAUCUUAGCUCACUACAACCUCUGCCUCCUGGGUUCAAGUGAUUCUCCUGCCUCAGCCUCCCAAGCAGCUGGGAUUGCAGGCGUACACCACCAUGCCUGGUGAAAUUUUGAGUAGAGAUGGGGUUUUACUAUGUUGGCAAGGCUGGUCUCGAACUCCUGACCUCACUCACCUUGGCCUCCCAAAGUGCUGGGAUUACAAGUGUGAGCCACAGCACCCAGCCUUACUCUGAACUUUCAGUGAGUUCAAUUCCACUAAAAGCAUAAACACCACUGCAGAUGAGUUAUGGAAAGAAGAGAUUAGAGGAAGAAGGAAGAACUUGAGAUGGGUUCCUCCCUUCAACAUUUCUAGCAUCUUCUUCCUUUUAGUCUUUCUAGAAUGUCCAUCUGUUUCUGGCCAUUAUAGAAAGAGAAGCUGAGUUUUAGAGUUAGGAGCUUCAAAAUUCUUCAUCUUUGUUCACCCUUCUAACCCUGUCUUCUGUUUCUUCUGCUAUUCUUUUUUCUUAGAGCAUAGGAAAGGGGAGCUUUUAAAUGAAACUUAAAGUGUGGAAAAAAAGAACUUCAGAAGAAAAUGAAACAAGAGAGAUGAGGCUAGUAAAGUAAGGAAAAUGGAGAUGAUGAUGAGGAGGAAGGGUUAGCUCCUAAAUUCCAAGUUAAGAGGAAACUGUCUCAAAUUGAUAUGAAGCAGGCAAGGCCUCUUGACUUACCUAAACUUCAGAAAAGGAUCCACUGAAAUUUGAUAGAAAUGGAAAAGGAAGUCCUUGGGGUGGAGAACCUCCAAACAUUAGUAAUGAUUUUGAACAAUUCAAAGUACUCAGGCAAUCUGCAGGCAACAUGCCUGUAGAUCACCCAUGCAGAAAGAUGAAAAGGGUUAGAAUUAUUUGUUGAUAUUAGUAAUAUUUCUUGACAUCUAGCUAGAAUUGGUAAUUUUAAGUUUUAGAUUAAUUUCUUUGGUGAUACCUAUGAUGUAUUUUAUAGAUAAGAAUUAUAUCCAUAGGCUUGCUAUCAUAGGCUCUAUUUUAAUUAGCAUUAAUUUAGUCUACUGUUUUUUUAAGCACAUUUGAAACAUUCACUUAUCCUAGAAAAGUCAUUGCCAAAUAAAAAGAUGAUUCCUGUAUGUAUAAAAGCUAUACAUUAAGGAGGAGUGUCCCAAAUAUGAAAAAAGUCAAUUAACCUAAAUAUUGCUGAGACAGAAGGAAAAUCCACUCCCUUGGAGGAGCAUGACCUUUUUGUGUUGCUUCCUUGAGGUCCUUGGACCCUGCCUCCUGGACACCAUCAUCAAGAAGACUUUAUGGAUGGGCCAUCCACUCCCUGAGAGAAGAGGAGCAUCAGCUGCAGUUUCUCUCUAGAUUGCCUUCUUCAUUUUGAGUAAUGACUGUCAGAAGGGUCAGAUUAAAGACAAAACAACGGGACAACUGCUUGGAGGACUAAAUUAUAAAGGCACUAACAUGUCAGUAGUAUGAUUUAUCAGCCCUUCUCUCAAGGGAAGAAUCCAUGUGAGGUUGGAAGGAAUGGUUUGUUAAAUUCCUUAGGGGUGGAAAGCAGGUCAUAAUCAGAAUAUAUAGGAAUAUGCUGUUUGACUGCAGGGUUUCUGUUUUUUUUUUUUUUUAACUAGGAUACAUAAAACAGGGACUGUAGCUAGAUUGUUUAUGACCCCAGAAGGUAGGCUGAGCACCCCUAUGAUCCUCUUGCUCAGUUCUUACUCAUUCAGACCCUCAGUCUUUCCUCUAAUAAAGAUUGAACAAGUAGUGGUUUGAGGGAGACACCAGUUCAUUAGCCUACAUGUCUCUUCUCUGCACUCUAGGGCUUCGAUAAUAAAGACACUGGCAGGCUAUCUGUCUUCCACUUCUAUAAUGUGAGCCCUUAAGCAGUCUUCGUUCAGUUGCGGGUGAGGGUCAUUGCUCAUAGAGCAGUUCAAGUCUUUACCUACAGACCUGGUGGUCAGACUCUGUGUUGAGUUCAUUAGAUUACUGGAGAUACAAGGUAGAGCUGGGCCCUUCAAAAAUACUUGGCUAAAGGAUGACAUUGCUGGUUAUUUGUAGAUAAAGCCAUCAUGGAACAUGCCUGGAAUCACGAAAUAUGGAACCAGUAGUCAUGUUUAAUAAUGCAACUAAUAGUUAAGUGCCUACUGGACACUGAAGAGAUUUAGGGGAAAUAUAGAUAUGGUUCCUGCCCUCAUGGAGUUUACACCGUAGUUUUCCCUUAGGUAUGAAGAACAGUGGCUACAGCUAACAAAUGGCUACAAAGAUAUUCUUGAGCCAAUGUUCCAAUUAUUAGGGUAAUUCCUGUUUCCUUAAUCAUGCCUAUUAACCAUGUUCUAUAAGCCUGCAUUCUAUAAAUGGCCUAUGAGCAUGGGCUGUUUCCCCCCAGCAAGUUGUGUAAAGUCCUGUGGUACCAGGGAAAGGGCUUAAGAUUAGCAGGACCUCUGGGGAAGGACAUAGGAAGUGACUUGGGUCAGGAAACAGGAAGGGAUAGGAUUCAAUAACCAGCUAUUGCUUUUGUUCUAUAUAGGAAACUGCAAUGUGAAAAAUGCUGGGCUGAGAAUUUUGAGAUCUGGGUUUUAGUUUGUGUUCUAACACUAACAAGCUGUGUGACUGUGGGUAAGACAUUGCACAUUCCACUUGGAUGCUCCUCGAGUCUCUCCAAACCCUUCCUACUCUAAAACAUUAAGAUCAGGCCCUAGGCUACAGCUGGCCAGUUUGUAAUUUUCCUGUUUCUAUGCUGUUAGGCCAAAUAAAUCUUCAAUAGUUACUUGAUUAUUACUUUUUUUCUGAAGUGGGUGUUUUGUCAAUGUUUUAGGAUACAGUGAGUCUGCUUCUCCCCUUUGAAGUUAGGAAGGUUGUAGCAAUAUAUACUAGAACAUAUGGAAGCUUUAUUUCCAUUUUUCCUGCCCCCCGUCUUUCUCACUCUCCUUCCCUUCCUCAUAUUUCUAUUGAACAUAUGCCAUUGCCACGUACCAGUUAUGUGCUAGGUUUGGAGAUACAAGAUAAACGUGACACUUUCCCAGACUUCAGGAGACAAAACCCUCCUUUUUUUCAUCUGCUGGCUUUCUCUUUGGAAAUAAUCAGUGAUGUCCCAGGGGAGUGUGCCCAUGUCCCAGGGUAACCAACUACAGAGAGAUGCCCCAUUCUACUCAAGCAACUUUAGAGUACCUUGAGAUUCACAUCAGAUAAUUUCAGGGCUGGGCAUGGUGGUGCACACCUGUAAUUGCAGCACUUUGGGAGCCCGAGGCAGCAGAUUUCUUGAGCUUAGGAGCUCAAGACCCACUUGGGCGACAUGGCAAAACACCAGCUCUGCAAAAAAAAAAUACAAAAAUUAGCUGUAGUUGGUGGCCUGUGACUAUAGUACAAGCUACUCAGGAGGCUGAGGUGGGAGGAUUGCUUGAGCCUGUGAAGUUGAGGCUGCAGUGAGCUGAGAUCAUGCCAUUGCACCAUUGAACUCCAGCCUGGAUGACACAGGGAGACUCUAUCCCAGAAAAAAAAAAAAAUCAUCAUCAUUCUAUCCUAGAGUCAUUGUGAAAAGAUCUAUCUUCAGAUAUAAGGAAGAAAUACUCUUUUAUUUCUUAGGAUAAAUCUGUAGAAGGACAGUCCUCCAAACAGUGAAGGCCCUGACUACUUUAUACUCUGUAACCCAUCCCUUCCCUGGUAGGGAGGACUACUUCUUAAACUUACAAGGUACCUCUCGGCAAAUAGACAUUUUCAUAUAUACUGUGUUUCAUAUAUCCCUAUGUCUGAUGACCACUUUAAAAAGGAAAGGAAAAAGCCUAAUCAGACAAAAAGAUGUUGCUAUUCUUACCCUAUUGUGAAUCCUAUAUAAGCAAAUUCAUUUCUUUGUUUUUUCCGAUAUUAGCAGAUCUAUUUGAUGUAUAUCUCUGAGUGCAGAAAAUAUUUUACAGAAAGAUAAAUCUAUGGAAUUUCAAAUUCAGCAUUGUUGAUACAUACUAUUUGGUUUGAGAAUUUUGUCCUGGGAAAUAGUAUUAGGGAUUUCAAUUUCUGGCUUCAAUGGUAGAAUUAGUUACUCUUAACUCUCGAUUUUACCUCUGAGUUGAGGUCAAGGAACAGGCAGAUACCUCCAGUUAAUGUCUAUAUCUCUCCAUGACCAAGAGCUUUAAUUUUCUUGUCUUCAUUUUUGCAGAUGUACAUCAUUACUAAAUGGAUUGAUUAGUAUUUUAUCUUCUCUCCUUGUCCUUACUUUCCCUCUGGUAAAUAUGUUAUAAACAGUGUAAGGCUCAUAAGAUAGAAUCGCUGGUAGGACUUAGAAGAGAAACAAAGGGCAUUGAUAACUCACACAAAUGGAAAAUGGACCCUGAAAUAACUGACAACAUAUUCAAGUAUUUUGGUGCAGUCUCAUGCCCAUUAAGAAGAAGUGACUCAGUAAAUCUAUAUGACCCUAAACAUUCUAAUGAAAAGGGGAACAUUCUGUCAAUCAACUCAUAUUUCUAAAUAUCUUGAUAUUGGCCAUUGUAAAGACAAACAUGCAGAUGACGGACUUGUCUUUCUACUUUUCAUUUGCAUGGUCUGGAUCCUUGUACCUCCAGCCAUUGACUCUAAGGCAAUUUACAUUUGUUUCCUCUUCCCUCUUGAGAGAAAACAAAAAUCUCAUUUUUCCAAGCAAUUAAAACUCUUCUGCUUCAGCUAGGAUGAAAGAAUUUGGAGUUCUGUCUCCUUGUAUAUAAUUGCAUGUUUCAUCUUCCUUGUUUUAUGAUUGACAGAAAACUGAUAAACUGAGACA